AGUAAUAGAUGGGGUUUAUUGCAAUUUAAAACUUCUUUUGAGCAAUAUCUAAAGUACACCUGUAAUUUCUCUUAAGACAAAAUGGGCCAGUGCCAAAAUGGCGAACGAUUAAAUUUCGUCCUGAAAAAUAGAUAUGAUAACGGAGUGUUAAACUUAAUAGUAAUUAAAGACGCCAGAUAGUUCAAUAGGUAAAUAUAACCAAUAUUUAAGAAAUACGAUGGGAAGGGCAAUGCAACAAGGAAUAAAAUAUUUUAACUGGCUGCGGAUUCUUCAACAAAAACAAAAUAUGGCCAAAAUAUUAAUGACAACUUAAUCACAAACGAGCGGAUAAUAGUACAAGUAUUACACACAGUACGCGCAGAAGCAAUUCAAAAACUAAACCCUCAUCAUAUUCGCGGUUUUGGCGUUGUGCUGACGAUAUAAACAACUGACUCAGUGAAAAUUUGUUAAACGGUUAAUAAAGACAACCCUAUAAGCAAGGGACGACGACGCACAGUGGGGAACCAUGUAUGGGAGAGUGGAAAAAACUCCGUAAAAUCUAAACUACUGGACCGUUUUUGAUGAAAUUUUCAGGAAUAAUAGGAAAUAAGAAGAUAAAUCAACACCAGUAAUUUUCGCCCACUGCCCCGCCCAUUAAAGUGAAAAAUGGCUAUUUAAGUUGAAAAAAGUCGAAAACUAGUACUUUUGUAUGAAAUUUAACGAAGACAACGUGACUUGCAGUAACCAAAAUAUACUUUUCUGAAGGUUUUCAAUGUUUUGAAAUCGAAUCCGAAGUCAUAAAAAAUUAAACAGCUCCUGUUUUUGAAAUAUUAC